UACGAAGGGGGCUAGCGUUGUUCGGAUUUACUGGGCGUAAAGCGCACGUAGGCGGAUUGUUAAGUGAGGGGUGAAAUCCCAGGGCUCAACCCUGGAACUGCCUUUCAUACUGGCAAUCUCGAGUCCGGAAGAGGUGAGUGGAACUCCUAGUGUAGAGGUGGAAUUCGUAGAUAUUAGGAAGAACACCAGUGGCGAAGGCGGCUCACUGGCCCGAUACUGACGCUGAGGCACGAAAGCGUGGGGAGCAAACAGG
rnacentral:rRNA from 1 species